rnacentral:lncRNA from 1 species
GGAGGAGGAGGAGGAGAAGAAGAAAGAGGAGGAGGAGGAGGAGGAGGAGGAGAAGAAGAAGAAGAAGAAGAAGAAGAAGAAGAAGAAGGAGAAGGAGAAGAUAAUUUGCUAAGUAUGAUUACAAUACUAAGGAUGAUUACAAUACUUUUCUUAUUUUGAGCUUAUUAUGUCAUUUAGGAGGAAGAUACGCCAAGUUAUGAGCUAACGAAGGUUCUUGUGAUGUUUUUUACCUAACUCGGCUAAUUAUGUCAUAAAUGAACUAAAUUAGCUAAUUAUGUCAUUUUGAAGGAUAAUUAGCUAAGUAUGUCUUUCUUGGGGGAAAUAAGCUAAGGAGAAGAAGAAAGAGGAGAAGAAAUAGGAGU